rnacentral:rRNA from 1 species
UGCCAGCCGCCGCGGUAACACGUACUGUGCGAACGUUAUUCGGAAUCACUGGGCUUAAAGGGUCCGUAGGCGGCGUAGCAAGUCAGGUGUGAAAGUCAAUGGCUCAACCAUUGAAUUGCGCUUGAAACUGCUAUGCUUGAGUAUCCUAGGGGUGUGCGGAACUGCCAGUGGAGCGGUGAAAUGUGUUGAUAUUGGCAGGAACACCGGUGGCGAAAGCGGCACACUGGAGGAUAACUGACGCUGAGGGACGAAAGCCAGGGGAGCGAACGGGAUUAGAUA